rnacentral:rRNA from 1 species
GAUGAACGCUGGCGGCGUGCCUAAUACAUGCAAGUCGAGCGAACAGACGAGGAGCUUGCUCCUCUGACGUUAGCGGCGGACUGGUGAGUAACACGUGGAUAACCUACCUAUAAGACUGGGAUAACUUCGGGAAACCGGAGCUAAUACCGGAUAAUAUAUUGAACCGCAUGGUUCAAUAGUGAAAGACGGUUUUGCUGUCACUUAUAGAUGGAUCCGCGCCGCAUUAGCUAGUUGGUAAGGUAACGGCUUACCAAGGCAACGAUGCGUAGCCGACCUGAGAGGGUGAUCGGCCACACUGGAACUGAGACACGGUCCAGACUCCUACGGGAGGCAGCAGUAGGGAAUCUUCCGCAAUGGGCGAAAGCCUGACGGAGCAACGCCGCGUGAGUGAUGAAGGUCUUCGGAUCGUAAAACUCUGUUAUUAGGGAAGAACAAAUGUGUAAGUAACUAUGCACGUCUUGACGGUACCUAAUCAGAAAGCCACGGCUAACUACGU